GACGAACCGUCCUAACGUUGUUCGGAAUCACUGGGCUUAAAGGGCGCGUAGGCGGCUUGCCAAGUCAGGGGUGAAAUCCUGCAGCUUAACUGUAGAAGGGCCUUUGAUACUGGCGAGCUCGAGGGAGGUAGGGGUAUGUGGAACUUACGGUGUAGCGGUGAAAUGCGUAGAUAUCGUAAGGAAGACCAGUGGCGAAGGCGGGUCUCUGGACAGUUCCUGACGCUGAGGCGCGAAAGCGUGGGGAGCAAACAGG
rnacentral:rRNA from 1 species